AUGUUCGUGGGAGAAUCCCUUGGUUCUCAUAGUCUGCAUUCAUUUGCAGAGUUCUUACAGCGUCAUAUUCACUCCCCUGAAGCCAGCUCUUGUCUGACCAGCAAAAGGAAGCCAUUCACAGUUCUGAAGCCAUUCAGUCUGAAUAUAAUGGCAACUGAGAAAUCUGCAAGAAAAGGUGGCAGGCAGCGCCGUGGAAAUACUGCUAAGGAUUUACCUCCUGAUUUGUAUGAACUGUACAAGUCAGAUCCUGAGGAAAGCUAUGGCCAGCGCAAGACCCGAAUCCAAUGGAUUCGAAGAUAUUGGGUAGAAGAAUGGUUCAAGUAUAGAUUUGUCACUGCAGAGUAUGCUGAAAAGAACGCCAUCAAGCGCCCAUGGGGAGAUAUUAUGUACAGGAAUCUGCAGCCCAAGUCCAAGUCUGAAGCCAUUGCUCAAGGCUUCUACCCAUGCAUGGUCCGAGGACCGAAGGUAGAGAAUGCCAACCCAUCAUCUAUGUUAUGGUGUCGCGAAGACAAUCUCUUCAAGCGCAACUAUCAGUUUGCAAAAGAGUCAGCUGUGAAGAACAAGAAAAAUCUUGGAAUCAACUUCAAUCCUGGUCCAUCUUCUCCUAGGCCGAAUGGCACACGUGAUGCUAAUCCAAAUGUCAUUGGCCCCUUCAACAACUUUGAUGGCCUCCUCUCCCACAUUGCUGCUCAGCGGGCCACUGUGGAUCAAUCCGCUGAUGACGCCGACUUUGAAGAAGCGCCAGCACCACCAAAGCCGCAGAAGAAGAAGAAGACAAAGGCUUCAAAUCCCUCUGCCACACCAAAAGCUUCGAUUGUGAAGCCCUUGGCCAUUGCACCUCCUGAACCCAGUGUGCAGUCUGAAGAUUUGUCUUGUGUCUCCAAGAAGGCCAAGAAGACAAUGAAAGCCAAGAAGCCCAAGAAGAUCUCUGGGCAUGAACUGACUCCUGCUGCCGUUCUGCGCAAUGAGGAUGAUACAAUUGAUCUGUCCAGUGAUGAAGAUCUUGGUGAUGAUGCCCUUGAGAUGCUAAUCAAGAGCAAGCAAGAGGCGGAAAUCUUCAACGAUUUGCCCCUCUUUCAUGUUGACAUUCUGAACAACUUCAUUGAUGAGUGGUUCGGCGACCAAAGCAUUAUCAUUGAUGAUCUUCAGCUUCCUGUGGACAUCAGCGUCACAUUCCACGGAGCCAUUGCUACCGAGUUGGCCUUGGCUCAGAAGAUAGUUGAGCUCAAGAAAAAAAUUGAUUAUGAGAAGGCUCACUUCAAGAAGAACAUGGCCAAGCUCAACAUGGAAGAUGUUCAAAUUUUCAAGAAGAUGUUGCAUGACCUCAAGGAAGAGUUUCACAAGAAGCGCAAUGAAGCUAAAGGCUCAAGAGAGCGCAUGAAGUACUUUGCAUAG
rnacentral:rRNA from 1 species